GCGCGAAUGUCAUGAACGAGUCCUGGACGGGUGGGUGCUGGCCUUCCGAGGCAUGUGACGCCGUGCUCAUCUCUCUACACCUGUGCACUUACUGUAGGUUGUCGUGGGUUUCAAGCCUCCGGGUUGGAAGCAUUCUGCCGGCCUAUGUACACUACAAACUCUUAAAGUAUCACAAUGAAAACGCGUCUAACGCAUCUUAAUACAACUUUCUUCAACGGAUCUCUUGGCUCUCGCAUCUAUGAACAACCCAUGGAAAUGCGAUAAUUAAUGUGAAUUGGCCAAUUCAGAUGAAUCUGAAAAUCUUUGAACGCACCUUGCGCUCCUUGGUAUUCCGAGGAGCAUGCCUGUUUGAUUGUCAUGAAAUUCUCAACCCAUACAUCCUUGUGAUCUAUGGGCUUGGAUUUGGAGGCUUGCUGGCCCUAGCGGUCGGCUCCUCUUGAAUGCAUUAACUUGAUUCCGUGCGGAUCGGCUCUCAGUGUGAUAAGUGUCUACGCUGUGACCGUGAAGCGUUUUGGCAAACUUCUAACCGUCCAUUAGGACAAUUUUAUAACAUCUGACCUCAACUCACGUAGGACUACCCGCUGAACUUAAGCAUAUCAAUAAACGGAGGAAAAUAAAAUAAGGAGGAUUCUCCUAGUAACUGCAAGUGAAGCGGGAAAAGCUCACAUUUAAGAUCUGGCGGGCUUUGGCCGUCCGAGUUGUAGUCUGGAGAAGCGUCUUUCCACGCUGGACCGUGUACAAGUCUCCUGA
rnacentral:rRNA from 1 species